rnacentral:rRNA from 1 species
UACAGAGGUCCCAAGCGUUGUUCGGAUUCACUGGGCGUAAAGGGUGCGUAGGAGGUCGGGAAAGUCGGGUGUGAAAUCUCACCGCUUAACGGUGAAACUGCAUUCGAUACUACCUGACUAGAGGACCGGAGGGGAAAGCAGAAUUCGUGGUGUAGCGGUGAAAUGCGUAGAUAUCACGAGGAAUACCAACAGCGUAGGCAGCUUUCUGGAAGGUUCCUGACUCUGAGGCACGAAGGCCAGGGGAGCAAACGGG